rnacentral:rRNA from 1 species
GAUGAACGCUGGCGGCGUGCCUAAUACAUGCAAGUCGAGCGAACGGACGAGAAGCUUGCUUCUCUGAUGUUAGCGGCGGACGGGUGAGUAACACGUGGAUAACCUACCUAUAAGACUGGGAUAACUUCGGGAAACCGUAGCUAAUACCGGAUAAUAUUUUGAACCGCAUGGUUCAAUAGUGAAAGACGGUCUUGCUGUCACUUAUAGAUGGAUCCGCGCUGCAUUAGCUAGUUGGUAAGGUAACGGCUUACCAAGGCAACGAUGCAUAGCCGACCUGAGAGGGUGAUCGGCCACACUGGAACUGAGACGCGGUCCAGACUCCUACGGGAGGCAGCAGUAGGGAAUCUUCCGCAAUGGGCGAAAGCCUGACGGAGCAACGCCGCGUGAGUGAUGAAGGUCUUCGGAUCGUAAAACUCUGUUAUUAGGGAAGAACAUAUGUGUAAGUAACUGUGCACAUCUUGACGGUACCUAAUCAGAAAGCCACGGCUAACUACGUG